rnacentral:lncRNA from 1 species
GUUGGGUUGGUUGUGUGUGGGAGAAUCAGGAAGAGGGAGCUUGUUCAUAAUCCAGCUCGUUUACCCAACAAACAAUAAAACAGAAGGCAGGAUUGUUCGGAGAUGCCGGAUGGCAGCCAUGAGAAAGACCCCACUGGUCUGAGAGGUCUGUGCAGGAAUGCACGGAGCCUGGGAAACACAGAGAGCCCCGUGGCUGAUGGUCUCGCCGUGCGUGAUGGUGAAUUUUAUGUGUCGCCUUGAUGGGACCUUGGGGGUGCUCAGACAUUUGGUCAAGCCUCUGUGUUUGCGAGGAUGUUUCUGGAUGGGACUAGCAUUCAAAUCUGCAGACCGAGGCAAGCAGAGUGUCCUCCCCGCAGAAGGUGGGCCUCACCUCAUCCAUCAGGGGCCUGAAUAGAAUAAAAAGUUGAAGAGGAGAGAAUUAUUUGCCUCUGCCUGUCUUCAAGGUGGAACCAUAGGUCUUCUCCUGCCUUUGGACUUAGACUCAGCAGAAAGAGCACCUCCCCUGGCCAAUGCUUUUGGCAGGAUUCCAGAAUGUGCACUCCUGGAGCCCUGGACCACGGCUGGCUUGGUUCCAGCCCAUCUGUGACCAUCUCUCCUAGGAUGCUGGGAUGUUCUGUGGGGCCAAGCUAGGGCUACUUGCCUACUUCUGCUGCAAGGGAGGGGUCAGCCCCAUGGGAACCAUAAGUGUGGGGAUUGGGGCAGCCUGAUUCUCUAGGAAGAACUGCUGCCCUCUUUCUAGGAAAAAGGAGAAGGGAUUUCAGGCAGCCCAAGCUAACAGAGGCCUGCUGUGCACUUGUGUGUUCUGAGCACUGGCUAGGAAGUGCAGGGCUUCCAAGAAGACCUAAAAUUCAUGAGAACCAAGACAAGGCAGUGAAGGUGUGAUCCUGAUAAAAGGUGACCAAGACAAGGCAGUGAACGUGUCAUCCUGAUAAAAGGUGACUGCAGGGGCUGCCCAGGGCAGGGAGGGCUCAGCCUGGAGUGGGUCCAUCCCGUCCUUGAGUCAUUCUGUCCUUCCCCUCAUCUGACAGGUGCCUGGCUCUUUGUUCUUCCUUCAUCGUGGGGGACAAGGGUGCAGGGGACGACGUGUUCAUUUUCCUCUCCUAUGCUCAGCUCACGGCCCCCGCCCUCCACUCCCCGCCUCACACUGAUCACUUUCCCAUUCAGCAGGUUCGAUGCACGCACAGGAUGCACGCGCCUCCUUGCAGAACACCGUGUGGGGCUUCCAGUGAGCGCUUCAUAUUGUAAAUGCCACUGUGCCCCGGAUCCCACUGUUUCACUCAACACUGUUCUUGAUUGUUGUCAUCAAGUUUAAAAAAAAAAUUAUGGUAAAAUACAUAUAAGCUAAAACUGACCUUUUUUUUUUUUUUUUUUUUGAGAUGGAGUCUUGCUCUGUCCCCCAGGCUGGAGUGCAGUGGCACAAUCUCAGCUCACUGCAGCCUCCGCCUCCUGGGUUCAAAUGAUCCUCCUGCCUCAGCCUCCCAAGUAGCUGGGAUUACAGGCACCCACCACCACACCAGGCUAAUUUUUGUAUUUUUAGUAGAGACGGGGUUUCACCAUGUUGAUCAGGCUGGUCUCGAACUCCUGACCUCAAGUGAUUUGCCCGCCUCAGCCUCCCAGAGUGCUGGGAUUACAGGUGUGAGCUACUGCACCCAGCCCAUUUUAACCAUUUCUAAGUGUAUUGUUCACUGGCAUUAAGUUCAUUCAAACUGUUGUGCAGCUGCCACCAUCAUCCAUCUCCAGAACUUGUCAUUUUUCCAAACUGAAACUCUGUUCCCAUUAAACCCCAACUCUAUGUUUCCUCCUCCCCCAGCCCCUGGCAACCACCAUGCUACUUUCUGUCUCUAUGGGUUUGACCAUUCUAGGGACCUCAUUUAACCUGAGCCCUACAGCCUUCACCUUUCUGUGGCUGAUUUAUUUCACUUGGCGUGACAUCCUCAAAGUUCAUCCAUGUUGUCACCUGUGUCAGAAUCUCCUUAUUUCCAAGGCUGAGUGAUAUUCCGUUGUGUGGAUGGACCACACUCUGUUUAUUCAUUCACCUGUCAAUGGAUGUUUGGUCCAUUUCUACCUUUCGGCUAGUGUGAAAAAAAGCAGCUGAGAACAUGAGUGUACAAAUACCUCUUUGAAACCCUGCAUUUAGUUCUUUUGGAGACAGACCCAGAAGUGGUAUUGCUGGAUGACAUGCUAAUUCCAUGUUUAAUUUUUGGAGAAACAGCCAUCCCAUUUUCCACAGGGGCCGCACCGUUUUACAUCCCCACCCACAGUGUGCAAGGGUUCCAGUUUCUCCAUGGCCUCGCUGACACUUGUUAUUCUCCACCUCGUUGACAGUAGCCAUCCUGAGGAGUGUGAGGUGGUGCUGUGUGUUAUUCUCCACCUCAUUGACAGUAGCCAUCCUGAGGAGUGUGAGGUGGUGCUGUGUGUUAUUCUCCACCUCAUUGACAGUAGCCAUCCUGAGGAGUGUGAGGUGGUGCUGUGUGUUAUUCUCCACCUCGUUGACAGUAGCCAUCCUGAGGAGUGUGAGGUGGUGCUGUGUGUUACUUUUACUUGUCUCCAUGCAGCUAAGGGCACGCCAGUGCACGCCUAAUGCAGGCGGGGUGACACCUGCACAGUUCCAUCUGCUGCUUCACGACGUGUUGCUAACUCAGUCGCCGACCACUGGACUCUGGGCUGCUCCAUUCCUAACUUCCACAGUGUUGAUGGAUACCGAUGCAAGCCCUUCUGGGGAAGACACAGUGAGAGCCUCUCUCAGCCAUGCAUUCCUCAGCCUGACUGCAAGGUCGCAGCCCCCUACAAAGCCCAGUCUGAGUGCUUCCCAGGCUGCCAUGUGCCAGGUCUCCCUCCCACGGCUGUCCUGGAAGGCUCUGCUUUGCACCAACUUGCCAGCACUUGGCAUUAGUCAACCCUCUAGCUUUUACCAAUCUGAUGGGUGUAAAGGGAAUUCCUGCGUUUUACUUUGCAUUUCUCUGAUUCCUGUGGGUUUGAGCAGCUCUUCAUUGAAUUGUGUGUCAUUUGCACUUUCCCUUCUGGGAAUUGUCUGUUGGGGUUGGCUUUCUGUCAACUUAAACAGGAGCAAACUUGGUUACUUUUAAUUAAAAGCAGGCUCGUGGCAGCAGGGGAGUUUUACAUGCAUAGGAAGGUCAGGUCCAGCCCUGCCCAUCUUCGUGCAUACUCUCUCUUUGGUCACUGCUGUGCGGCAUGGUGAGCUUGGCACCUGGCCUUCAGAAUGCAGCCACAGAAGGGAGUUCAUGGGCUAGGCAUUCUGCUAAGGGACACAGCUGUCUCUGGCUCCUGCAUCCAAUUACUGGACUCUCUGCUUCAUUGCUCUGGUGGAGCUGCCAGCCUGAGUCUCCACAUGUUCUUUCAACACUCCCUUGGUGGCCAGCCCAGUGUGCUUUUAAUCAUUGACAAGCAAGAGGAUGCCACAGAGAAGGAUGUUGGCUGCUGUUCAGGCAUUUGGGGACUGGCAGGGAGGGCUGCUGUCCACGACGGAGGAUGCCACAAGUGGAUUCAAGACUGAGUUUUUUGUUUUUCUAUCCAUCAACUCAAGCAUUUGUUAUUUUGUUUGUGUUACACAUAGUCCAAUUAUACUCUUUUAGCUAUUUUUAAAUGUACAAUAAAUUUUUAUUGAUUCUAGUCACCCUGUUGUGCUAUCAAAUGCUAGAUCUUAUUCAUUCUAAUUAUAUUUUUGUACCCAUUAGCCAUCCCCUUUCUCUCCUUCCCACCCCCCAACUACCCUUUGCAGCAUCUGGUAACCAUCAUUCUACUCUCUAUCUCCAUGAGUUCAAUUGUUUUCGUUUUUAGCUCCCACAAAUAACUGAGAACAUUUGAAGUUUGUCUUUCUGUGCCUGGCUAAUUUCGCUUAACAUAAUGACCUCCAGUUCCAUCCAUGCUGUUGCAAAUGGCAGGAUCUCAUUAUUUUUAUGACUGAAUAGUACUCCACUGUGUAAACGCACUGCAUUUUCUUUAUCCGUUCCUCUGUCAAUGGACACUUAGGUUGCUCCC